rnacentral:ncRNA from 1 species
UCAAAUGAAUUGACGGGGGCCCGCACAAGCGGUGGAGCAUGUGGUUUAAUUCGAUGCAACGCGAAGAACCUUACCUGGCCUUGACAUAGUAGAAACUUUCCAGAGAUGGAUUGGUGCCUUCGGGAAUCUACAUACAGGUGCUGCAUGGCUGUCGUCAGAUCGUGUCGUGAGAUGUUGGGUUAAGUCCCGCAACGAGCGCAACCCUUUUCCUUACUUGCCAGCAUUUCGGAUGGGAACUUUAAGGAUACUGCCAGUGACAAACUGGAGGAAGGCGGGGACGACGUCAAGUCAUCAUGGCCCUUACGGCCAGGGCUACACACGUGCUACAAUGGUCGGUACAAAGGGUUGCUACCUAGCGAUAGGAUGCUAAUCUCAAAAAGCCGAUCGUAGUCCGGAUUGGAGUCUGCAACUCGACUCCAUGAAGUCGGAAUCGCUAGUAAUCGCGGAUCAGAAUGCCGCGGUGAAUACGUUCCCGGGCCUUGUACACACCGCCCGUCACACCAUGGGAGUUUGUUGCACCAGAAGUAGGUAGUCUAACCUUAGGGAGGACGCUUACCACGGUGUGGCCGAUGACUGGGGUGAAGUCGUAACAAGGUAGCCGUAGGGGAACCUGCGGCUGGAUCACCUCCUUA